GACGAACGCUGGCGGCGUGCUUAACACAUGCAAGUCGAACGGUGAAGCGCUUUCCUUUUUGGUUGGUGUGGAUGAGUGGCGAACGGGUGAGUAACACGUGAGUAACCUGCCCCCUUCUUCUGGAUAACCGCAUGAAAGUGUGGCUAAUACGGGAUAUUCUGCGCCUGCUGCAUGGUGGGUGUGGGAAAGAUUGUGCCUUUGGGUGUUUUCGGUGAGGGAUGGGCUCGCGGCCUAUCAGCUUGUUGGUGGGGUGAUGGCCUACCAAGGCGGUGACGGGUAGCCGGCCUGAGAGGGUGGACGGUCACACUGGGACUGAGACACGGCCCAGACUCCUACGGGAGGCAGCAGUGGGGAAUAUUGCACAAUGGGCGCAAGCCUGAUGCAGCGACGCCGCGUGAGGGAUGGAGGCCUUCGGGUUGUGAACCUCUUUCGCCAGUGAAGCAGGCCUGCUCCGUGUGGGUGGGUUGACGGUAGCUGGAUAAGAAGCGCCGGCUAACUACGUG
rnacentral:rRNA from 1 species